rnacentral:rRNA from 1 species
AUGUCCGGAUCCAAUCUUCAAGGCCGGUGGAUGGCCUCCUCUGUCUCAGAGGAGGACAUUAAGAAGCGUAGGGAGGCCAGGUAUCUCACCGCCGAAAUCCCGCACAGGUUGCCUGCUCAAGGGCAGGUCAUGCCCACUCCCAAACCCAACGAGAGUGUCGUAUUUAUUUCCCACUUCCUCCGAGGGCUAGAUUUUAGUUUCGAUCACUUCAUGAGGGUGCUUAUGUUCUAUGACGGGCUAGAUUUCCAUGAUCUAGCUCCGGAUUCCAUCCUUCACAUCUCGUCGUUUAUCGUCGUGUGUGAAGCCUUUCUCCGCAUUACCCCCACUUCGGCCUAUGGCUCAAGACCUUCAAUGUGA